GUUCAAACCCAUUGAGUUUUGGUGCUGUAGAAGCAUUUGCUGCCUCUGCUGUUGAAGACGAAAGGAAGGGGAAUUAGGAGUAGAAAUCGCAGGCAUUGGCUUCAACCACUGCUGCUGUGAAGAAUUAUUCUGCAUAAUUGCCGAUUGUCCAUUCUGAGUCAACCCAGGUAACUGAGAGUUAGCAAAUGACGUCCUUGGAAGACUCUGAGCCGAUAUUUUCUGAGUAGUGGUGAGAGGAUUUUGCUGGGACAACUGCUGCUGCCUCAGCUGACCUUGAUUCACCCUUUGUGCAUAUGCCAGGGCACCGUUUGCCCUGAGCUGAGAGCUCAUGUUGAGAGAUCCCAUCAUUCCCAUUGCCUGUAAGGACUGGCCAUGGGAAUUCCCUGUAUGGAAUUGAUUCCCCUGCAUUAGACCUGCCUUCUGCCGUGGCGAAUUCAAAAAUUGAGAUUGCAAAUUGAACUGGGCAACAGCCGCUGCUGCAGCAGCAGCUUGUCCAGAUAACAUGGGCAGAUGGCCAGUCUGUCCCAUUAAAGCUGCCCUAGC
rnacentral:misc_RNA from 1 species